rnacentral:lncRNA from 1 species
CUUCUUUCCAUUCCAUUCUCCAAACUUUACCAUAUUUACAAGAUCGAACUUGUUUGCCUGGCACGUUACACAGAAUUUUCGCUUGCUAUAAUUCUUGUACUUAUCUAUUUCACGCAAUCCUCGAAAGAAAGAAAGCUUCCUAACAUUAAGGCGUCUACUUUGGGUGGAAGUUUAAUAAUGAGUGGAAGGGCACUAUAGCGCAAUUCGACAUAACUUUUAUAGAUUCCACCAAGGCGAUACAGGUUCAGGGCGGAUUUACAAUCAAGGCAGUGGGAUCACAGGCCCCCACAGUAAUUUUGAAAUUUUAAUAUUUAGCCCUUUUUUUGUAGUUUUCAAUUUUUCCCCUCAUAACUAAAAUUUUGUGCAAUUUACCCCACACAAAUCUUAUCUUCUAGCUCCGCCCCUGGUGCUAUUCCACCUUCUUCCCCCCGUGAAAGAGGUAAUGUUGUGAUUACUGGUGGAAGAAAGCUCUUUGGAGUUCAGCCUAAUUUACAGUCCAUUUGCCCUCAUAAUUAAAAUUUUGUGUAAUUGCCCCCACAAAUUCACUUCUAACUCCACCCCUGGCACUAUUCCACCCUCUUCCCCUUGUGAAAGAGGUGAUGUGGUGAUUAAUGGUGGAAAGCUCUUCGGCGUUCAGCCUAAUUUACAGUCCAUCCUUAUUCCUGAUGUUUGUCCUUGAAACUCUACAAGAAACUGCCAUGAAAGACUUAUUAGGAUCUUGUUCUUGAUUUCUUCCCCUAGUACGUACACCCUUGACAAUUUUGUAAAAUAUAUAUUUUUCUUCUAAAGUGAAUUCAUAUAUCUAUGUCUGUUAAUCAAAGUAAAGGAUAUGAAUUAUUCUACUUCUAAAAGCAUCCAAUAAAAAUUCAUACGCAACAAAAUCAAAAUUUCGAUUACACACAAAUUAAAGAUGCAUUGAGAGAAAUACUUGCUCUAUUUCAUCUAGGCCGAGAAUGUGCACUAUAUAUAAUUUCCAUACUCUUCCAAGUAUUGAGCACCUCGAUCCACAACCUACUCCAAUCAUGUUGCCAGAAAAUGGAAGAUAAGGAAAAUAACGAAAGAUUAGAGACAGAAGUGCAAAAAUGGUCGAAGGUUGGAGAAUAAUAAUGUAAUUUCCUAAUAGUUUUGAUAGAAAAUAUGCAUAGAGAGAUUGAAAGAUCUCAUUUAACCGGAAAAGGCGUUAACAGAUCAUUGUUGGGAUAGGAAAGGUACUAGAGUAAGUUCACGUGCACUGCAAUCGCAACAUUCUUCAUGUCGACAUUAAACCGCCCAAGAAUAUCCUCCUCGAUGAAGAAUGUAAUGUUAAAUUUGCAGACAUUGGGUUAGGAAAAUGGAUCGAGAGGGAUCAAAGCAAAAUGUACACCAUGCCAAAGGGAACUCCAGGGUAGAUAGAAGCUCAAUUGAUCGCCAGAAGAAACGUAUCAAUGGAGGUCGAUGUCAACAGUUUCAGAAUAGUGAUACCAGAAGCAGAAGAGAGUCGAGUUCUUGAUG